rnacentral:rRNA from 1 species
UACGAAGGGUGCAAGCGUUAAUCGGAAUUACUGGGCGUAAAGGGUGCGUAGGCGGUUCGUUAAGUCUGUCGUGAAAUCCCCGGGCUCAACCUGGGAAUGGCGAUGGAUACUGGCGAGCUAGAGUGUGUCAGAGGAUGGUGGAAUUCCCGGUGUAGCGGUGAAAUGCGUAGAGAUCGGGAGGAACAUCAGUGGCGAAGGCGGCCAUCUGGGACAACACUGACGCUGAGACGCGAAAGCGUGGGGAGCGAACCGG